rnacentral:rRNA from 1 species
GAUGAACGCUAGCUACAGGCUUAACACAUGCAAGUCGAGGGGCAGCAUGAACAAAGCUUGCUUUGUUUGAUGGCGACCGGCGCACGGGUGCGUAACACGUAUCCAAUCUGCCCGCGGCUCGGGGAUAGCCCAUCGAAAGAUGGAUUAAUACCCGAUGGCGUGGUCACCCCGCAUGGGGUUUCCACUAAAGGUUUUCCGGCCGCGGAUGAGGAUGCGUAUGAUUAGGUAGUAGGCGGGGUAACGGCCCACCUAGCCUUCGAUCAUUAGGGGUUCUGAGAGGAAGGUCCCCCACACUGGAACUGAGACACGGUCCAGACUCCUACGGGAGGCAGCAGUGAGGAAUAUUGGUCAAUGGGCGAGAGCCUGAACCAGCCAAGUAGCGUGAAGGAAGACUGCCCUAUGGUUUGUAAACUUCUUUUGUUCGGGAAUAAAGUGCAGUAUGUAUACUGUUUUGUAUGUACCGUUCGAAUAAGCAGCGGCUAAUUCCGUGCCAGCCGCCGCGGUAAAAC